rnacentral:lncRNA from 1 species
AAACACACACACACAUAUACUGAGUAAACAAUGAUCUGACAUUUUCCACUUGACAAGUGAAAAGCUUACUUGCUCAAAGGCAACAACAUAACAGUUGUACAAAUAUAUGGGACCACCACUCUAAAUUUUUCAUCCAUCUCCUACAUUCAUCACUUCAUAAGUUCUAAGUCAUCUAGACUGCCACCGAUGUUCUCACCAUCAAUGUUGCAUACAAUGUUGCCAUUGUUGUGGUUGUCCAUAGCACCAUCCUCCAAGCUAACAUGAGAUGAAUAGGUGUUUCCCUGCGAAUUCAGGACAACAUUAGGGAGAACUAAUAUUGAAAAGUCAAGAUAAGAUGAGCAACAUCAGGUAGAUAUCAAAAUCAAUAGAAGUUGCAUUAUAGUGUGCAUACUAUGGUCCAUACCUACAACAUUGAUGAUCUCAUUGAUGUUAGCAUCAACACAUUAUGUAUUAAGGUGAUUAAGAACAUAAUAUGCCCUGCUUGUUGACAAUUUAAAUACCAUGACACUUCAUUGAUAAAAACACUCAGGCCAAUCAAGAAAUACAGAAGAAAAAAGAAUGCCCACUCAGUAUUUUCUUUGUAAAUUUGAGAUAUGGCAUAUGGAAGCACAAUAAUCAUUGGAUGUUAUACUAUACUGUAGUGCUUUUAGGGAAAAUGAAUAGGAGUAACUAACACUAAAAAUGCACCAGUAGCUUUAAGUUGGACCUUACAUCCAUUAGGAGGCAUUCUUAAUGAGGUCUCGGCCUUCUUUGUACUCCCCUCAUCGUCAAUAAGUAAUGCAUUAAAUAAGUGAUGGGAAUAUAACAUAAUAAGGUAAGAACCAAGACACCUAGUAUUUGUGAGAUAAUCACCUCAUCAAGACAAGCACAUACACCGCCUUAGUGUGAGAGGUACAUGAGAUAGGUUCUCAUUUGCAUGCUGCAACUUCUUUGCCCAUCAAUUUUGACCACAUAACUUACCUACAUCCAGACGCUUUCAUCAUUUGUACCAGAAAGCUUGUUUUACCACUAGUCCAUGACGCCUUACCCUUUUUACUC